rnacentral:rRNA from 1 species
UACGUAGGUGGCAAGCGUUAUCCGGAUUUAUUGGGUUUAAAGGGUGCGCAGGCGGAUUUUUAAGUCAGCGGUCAAAUCGUGGGGCUCAACCCCAUCCAGCCGUUGAAACUGGGGAUCUAGAGUGUGCGAGAGGUAUGCGGAAUGCGUGGUGUAGCGGUGAAAUGCAUAGAUAUCACGCAGAACCCCGAUUGCGAAGGCAGCAUACCGGUGCACAACUGACGCUGAGGCUCGAAAGCGUGGGGAGCAAACAGG